rnacentral:rRNA from 1 species
GAUGAACGCUGGCGGCGUGCCCAAUACAUGCAAGUCGAGCGAACGGACGAGAAGCUUGCUUCUCUGAUGUUAGCGGCGGACGGGUGAGUAACACGUGGAUAACCUACCUAUAAGACUGGGAUAACUUCGGGAAACCGGAGCUAAUACCGGAUAAUAUUUUGAACCGCAUGGUUCAAAAGUGAAAGACGGUCUUGCUGUCACUUAUAGAUGGAUCCGCGCUGCAUUAGCUAGUUGGUAAGGUAACGGCUUACCAAAGCAACGAUGCAUAGCCGACCUGAGAGGGUGAUCGGCCACACUGGAACUGAGACACGGUCCAGACUCCUACGGGAGGCAGCAGUAGGGAAUCUUCCGCAAUGGGCGAAAGCCUGACGGAGCAACGCCGCGUGAGUGAUGAAGGUCUUCGGAUCGUAAAACUCUGUUAUUAGGGAAGAACAUAUGUGUAAGUAACUGUGCACAUCUUGACGGUACCUAAUCAGAAAGCCACGGCUAACUACGUG